rnacentral:rRNA from 1 species
AUUGAACGCUGGCGGCAGGCCUAACACAUGCAAGUCGAGCGGAGCGGCGGAAGGGUGCGUAAUGCCUAGGAAUCUGCACGGGAGUGGGGGAUAACGUCCGGAAACGGGCGCUAAUACCGCAUACUAUCAGAUGAGCCUAGGUCGGAUUAGCUAGUUGGUGGGGUAAAGGCCUACCAAGGCGACGAUCCGUAACUGGUCUGAGGUGAUUAUCAGUCACACUGGACCUGAAACACGGUCCAUCCUCCUACGGGAGGCAGCAGUGGGGAAUAUUGGACAAUGGGCGAAAGCCUGAUCCAGCCAUACGGCGUGUGUGAAGAAGGUCGUCGGAUUUUAAAGCGCUUUAAGUUGGGAGGCGUUACCAACAGAAUAAGCACCGGCUAACUUCGUGCCAGCAGCCGCGGUAAUAC